UUGAGUUUUCUUGUAUUUACUUAUUUUACUUUUAUUUUCCCCAUCAUUUUGGGUUUUUACCACCUUAUUCUUUUACCCCAAAUUUAUCUGCCCAAAGCUGAGCCUUCUCCUUCACACGCAAAACUCAGCUUUUCCUCUUUCCUUGUUCACGUCAGAGUUGGACAGAGAGAAAGGGAGCCUCGUUCAGCUCUUCCCCUCCACGUUUCCAUCAUGCAAAGGGCAACUCCUCCAAGAACAUCAUCUCAGACCUUCAAAAGAGAGAACCCAGGCCAUAAAUCGUCAUUCACCCUUCUCUUCUCACCUUUCCUCUCGUCCCUGGACACAUCAGUCCGUUUACGAGCCUCGAAACACCUAGUUCGAGAUCUCCGAUCAGAAAACGUUCUUCAUCAAAGUUGUUCGCCUAUGUCUCCUCUAUCUAGCCUCCAAAUUUCAGCUCCAUCGGAAUUGAUUUGAGACCUGUACACCCCUCGAAGCGGAAGCUGUUCCGGAGCAAGCCUGUUCCGGAUUUCUGCUUAAACUUCCUCUCUUGCUCUACCCGAAUCCCCAACACCUUGCUUGAGACUGAUACCAACAGUUGUCUCUGUUUCACUUUGCAUGUUCGAGACUGAGCAAACUUCUUGGCCUGUGACUGGACUCGAUCCAAUCAGCUCCUUCAGCUCUCUUUCCUGUUGAAAUCCUCAAGAGAAGCUCAUCUUUUUUUUGUUAGUUUUUGGCUUGAUAUCUUGGUAGGAUCUUGUGAAGUGGUGGUUGCUACAAGGUUGCAUUGAGGCCAAGUGCUGCAAGAGAAAGCUCGAGUUCCAGGAGAGGUCAGUUCCUCCUUGAGCCACCGGUGGUGGGCAGUGUGCACCAUGCCCUUGUUAUCUCCCCUUUGUCUCUAGCCUUGUGAUUAAUGAAUUCCGGAAAGUGAUUGGCUAGAUGGACGGUUGUGAUGGAAGUGUGAAAGAUGAUCAAUUGCCGUGGGAUUGUAGUUACGUGGUGACGAUCACGUGGAAGCGCAAACCGGUUUUAUCUACUUCUUUUAUUCAAAACAAUAACUCAUGUUUUUAAACUUAGAUAUGGGGGCGGGCAUGGGCAAUGACUGGAUGUAGGGGAUGCCUUUAACUCUAUCUAUGCUUUUCUUGCAUAUACUAUGUUUUAUAUGAGGCCUCUUGCAUGGUUUUUGGAAAUUAUCUGUUUUACAAUUGAAAUGGUUUGCGUGGAUUGGAUUGAUGUGUUGGCAAUUGAUGGGGAUGUAAGGAGAGGUCAGUUCCUCCUUGAGCCACCGGUGGUGGGCAGUGUGCACCAUGCCCUUGUUAUCUCCCCUUUGUCUCUAGCCUUGUGAUUAAUGAAUUCCGGAAAGUGAUUGGCUAGAUGGACGGUUGUGAUGGAAGUGUGAAAGAUGAUCAAUUGCCGUGGGAUUGUAGUUACGUGGUGACGAUCACGUGGAAGCGCAAACCGGUUUUAUCUACUUCUUUUAUUCAAAACAAUAACUCAUGUUUUUAAACUUAGAUAUGGGGGCGGGCAUGGGCAAUGACUGGAUGUAGGGGAUGCCUUUAACUCUAUCUAUGCUUUUCUUGCAUAUACUAUGUUUUAUAUGAGGCCUCUUGCAUGGUUUUUGGAAAUUAUCUGUUUUACAAUUGAAAUGGUUUGCGUGGAUUGGAUUGAUGUGUUGGCAAUUGAUGGGGAUGUAAGGAGAGGUCAGUUCCUCCUUGAGCCACCGGUGGUGGGCAGUGUGCACCAUGCCCUUGUUAUCUCCCCUUUGUCUCUAGCCUUGUGAUUAAUGAAUUCCGGAAAGUGAUUGGCUAGAUGGACGGUUGUGAUGGAAGUGUGAAAGAUGAUCAAUUGCCGUGGGAUUGUAGUUACGUGGUGACGAUCACGUGGAAGCGCAAACCGGUUUUAUCUACUUCUUUUAUUCAAAACAAUAACUCAUGUUUUUAAACUUAGAUAUGGGGGCGGGCAUGGGCAAUGACUGGAUGUAGGAGCCUAACCCCUACUUUAGUUUGUUUUGCAGGCUGUUGUUGUCGAAGCUUGGGUACGGAGGAUAAUCCUUGGAGGCCACAAUUUGUUUUAUUUAAAGUUUAUUUCCUUUCGGCUUGCUUGAUUUCACUAAAGUUUUGUAACAUUAUGUAUGGUUGAUGAUGUGUGUGCUUGCUUACCACCAAAGUGGAACCCUAGGGUUAGAACCUCCAUUUGAAUUUAGGUCCUAGUGGGCUAGACCUAGAAGACUCACAUAAAUUACCAUUUAAUGAACUUAAUGCAAACUUGGGGCUAAGAACUAAAAAUUGACAUAGGUUCUAAAACUCAACUCAACACCACCUUCCUUUCCUCUUAUUCGCCUAGUUCGUAAUCUUGUGAUUACGAGCCAAGCCCACUAUACAAGCCCAAAAAUUUCGGGCUUAUAGAUUUCUUGUUUUCCAACCUAAAGGCCUUGUCUCUUUGAGGAAUUCUAGGCCCAAAACACUUACUCCAAGUGUUGCGGGUGUAGGGUUCCUUAGGGAGGCGGCGCUGUGGUA